rnacentral:rRNA from 1 species
AUUGAACGCUGGCGGCGUGCUUAACACAUGCAAGUCGUGCGGUAACAGGCGUAGCAAUACGUGCUGACGAGCGGCGAACGGGUGCGUAAUACAUGGGAAUCUGCCUUUUAGUGGGGAAUAACCCGGCGAAAGCCGGGCUAAUGCCGCAUAAGAUCUUCGGAUGAAAGCGGGGGAUCGUAAGACCUCGCGCUGAUAGAUGAGCCCAUGCCGGAUUAGCUAGNGGUGAGGUAACGGCUCACCAAGGCGACGAUCCGUAGCUGGUCUGAGAGGACGGCCAGCCACACUGGGACUGAGACACGGCCCAGACUCCUACGGGAGGCAGCAGUGGGGAAUAUUGGACAAGUGGGGAAACCCUGAUCCAGCGACGCCGCGUGUGUGAAGAAGGCCUGG